AAGUCGUAACAAGGUUUCCGUAGGUGAACCUGCGGAAGGAUCAUUAAAAAAAAUUCAGUAAAAAAGUAAGGUAAGUGGCCUUCCCACAAAGAAGCGGCGUGAGGGGGGGAAUCGUGAGAUCGAGGGUGGAGCACGACUCUGAGUAGCGAGUAUCCCUACCACCAUUACUCUCUUGCAUCAAGAGAUGUCCCCGGGAGAGGUGUACCCCUUGCUUGCUCUCUUACAAAUAUCCCUUGCAGCCGCUGCCAUGUGGGUUGGCCAUCAUCCCUAUAUUACUUUUUGAAUUUAAAAACCCCCACUGUGCACUUAUUGAAAAGACCACCCAGAAAGAAAAAUUUAUUUUUCUUUAACCUAUUGCCUGAAUUUUGACUGAUCUUAUUAAAACAAAUCAAAUACAACUUUCAACAACGGAUCUCUUGGCUCUC
rnacentral:misc_RNA from 1 species